ACACUUUAACAAUAUGUAUACUAAAAUUGGAGUGAUAUGGAGAAGAUUAGCAUGGUACCUGUGCAAAGAUGAUAUACAAAUCCAUAAACACUUUAUUAUUAU